GUCGAGCGGAUGACGGGAGCUUGCUCCUUGAUUCAGCGGCGGACGGGUGAGUAAUGCCUAGGAAUCUGCCUGGUAGUGGGGGACAACGUUUCGAAAGGAACGCUAAUACCGCAUACGUCCUACGGGAGAAAGCAGGGGACCUUCGGGCCUUGCGCUAUCAGAUGAGCCUAGGUCGGAUUAGCUAGUUGGUGGGGUAAUGGCUCACCAAGGCGACGAUCCGUAACUGGUCUGAGAGGAUGAUCAGUCACACUGGAACUGAGACACGGUCCAGACUCCUACGGGAGGCAGCAGUGGGGAAUAUUGGACAAUGGGCGAAAGCCUGAUCCAGCCAUGCCGCGUGUGUGAAGAAGGUCUUCGGAUUGUAAAGCACUUUAAGUUGGGAGGAAGGGCAGUAAGUUAAUACCUUGCUGUUUUGACGUUACCGACAGAAUAAGCACCGGCUAACUCUGUGCCAGCAGCCGCGGUAAUACAGAGGGUGCAAGCGUUAAUCGGAAUUACUGGGCGUAAAGCGCGCGUAGGUGGUUUGUUAAGUUGGAUGUGAAAGCCCCGGGCUCAACCUGGGAACUGCAUCCAAAACUGGCAAGCUAGAGUACGGUAGAGGGUGGUGGAAUUUCCUGUGUAGCGGUGAAAUGCGUAGAUAUAGGAAGGAACACCAGUGGCGAAGGCGACCACCUGGACUGAUACUGACACUGAGGUGCGAAAGCGUGGGGAGCAAACAGGAUUAGAUACCCUGGUAGUCACGCCGUAAACGAUGUCAACUAGCCCGUUGGAUCCUUGAGAUUUUAGUGGCGCAGCUAACGCAUUAAGUGAUCGCCUGGGGGAGUUACGGCCGCAAGGUUUUAAACUCAUAAUGAAUUUGACGKGCGGCCCCCGCMCACAGCG
rnacentral:rRNA from 1 species